UACGUAGGGCGCAAGCGUUGUCCGGAAUUAUUGGGCGUAAAGAGCUCGUAGGUGGCCUGUCGCGUCGGCUGUGAAAACUCGGGGCUCAACUCCGAGCUUGCAGUCGAUACGGGCAGGCUAGAGUUCGGCAGGGGAGACUGGAAUUCCUGGUGUAGCGGUGAAAUGCGCAGAUAUCAGGAGGAACACCGGUGGCGAAGGCGGGUCUCUGGGCCGAUACUGACACUGAGGAGCGAAAGCAAGGGGAGCAAACAGG
rnacentral:rRNA from 1 species